CCUACGGGGGGCAGCAGUGGGUGAUAUUGCACAAUGGGGGGAACCCUGAUGCAGCGACGCCGCGUGGGUGAAGGAGUGCUUCGGCAUGUAAAGCCCUAUCGGCAGGGAAGAAGCAAGACGGUACUUGACUAAGAAGCCCCGGCUAACUACGUGCCAGCAGCCGCGGUAAUACGCAGGGGGCGAGCGUUAUCCGGAUUCACUGGGUGUAAAGGGAGCGUAGGCGGCCAAGCAAGCCAGGGGUGAAAGCCCGGGGCCGAACCCCGGGACUGCCCUUGGAACUGGAAGGCUGGAGUUGGGGAGGGGCAGGCGGAAUUCGUGGUGUAGCGGUGAAAUGCGUAGAUAUCAGGAGGAACACCGGCGGCGAAGGCGGCCUGCUGGACCGCGACUGACGUUGAGGCUCGAAAGCGUGGGGAGCGAACAGGAUUAGAUACCCGGGUAGUC
rnacentral:rRNA from 1 species